rnacentral:sRNA from 1 species
AUGGGACCAUCUACAGAACUAGAAUAUCUUGGAAUUACCUUGGAUACCGAGAAAAUGGAGGCGAUGUUACCAGAAGAAAAAUUGGUUAGAAUAUCUCAACUGGUACAGCAGUUUUCUACAAGGAAAUCCUGCACAAAACCUCGGGAAUUACACCAUUACGUCGCCUUGAAUUCGGAGUGUAGACUUGACCUGCACAUGUGGUCCAAAUUCCUGGAAGGAUGGAAUGGAAGAUCGUUUUUCUUGGACAAUGCUACCACAGAUGCCACCGAUCUUCAUCUGUUCACAGAGGCGACAGAUACGGCUUUUGGAGGAUUUUUUAAAAAUCAGUGGUUUCAAGAUGGACCGCUUCCGACAUCUGGCCCCACAAGCCGACCCUUUACCGAAACCAUGCCCAGCAUAUUCGAGCCUCAUCGCGAUCUGAAGAACCAUGCCGAACAUUUAAUUGAUGCCUCCAUUGAGGCCAGCACUGCAACAUACAGAGCAGGACUAGACUGUUUUUUAAGAUUUCUAUUGAUAUCUCGAAUGUGCUCAGCCUUUGAUAAAUUACCUGUCAUAAAUGAAGAUAUCCUUGUGUAUUUCGUAUCCCAUUGUCAACUUAUGUUAACAUUGAGAUUAGGUUUUGAAGAGGCAAGAUAUUCUGGGCACUCCUUCAGAAUUGGUGCAGCCACUUCUGCUGCUGCAGUGGGUAUUCAAGAUAACUUAAUUCAGUCAUUAGGUCUUUGGAAUUCAGACUGUUAUACAAGGUAUAUCUACCCGCUGGUGUCAACCCGGGUCCCUGCAUUUAAACCUGAUGUCAACCCAGGUUCCAUUCCUUAA